AAGUCGUAACAAGGUCUCCGUAGGUGAACCUGCGGAGGGAUCAUUACUGAGUUCGGGGGCAAUCCCAGUCCCGACCUCCAACCCUUUGUGAACAAAUCUUGUUGCUUCGGGGCGACCCUGCCGUUCGCGGCAUUCCCCGCCGGAUGCCAUCAAAACAACUGCAUUAUUACGUCGGAGUAAAAGUUAAUUUAAUAAAA
rnacentral:misc_RNA from 1 species